AUUAAAAUAAUAUUUUUUGACAUCAGAAGAUAUUUUCAAGUAUGUUAACAAAAGACCUUGGUGAAGUGCUUUUAUCUUUAGGAAAUGAAGCUCAGGAACUUUAUUUGCCUCGAAAAAUAAAAUUGUUAGAGCAUCCACCUUCUGCAUUAGUUUUUUUACGUGAAUAUGUCAUGCCAAAUAUACCAGUUGUUAUUAAAAAUGGAGUUAAGCACUGGCCUGCUAUAAAAAAAUGGACAGACGAUUAUCUAGUUGAUAUUCUAGGUAACAAAAGUAUAACUGUAGCUCUUACACCAAAUGGAUAUGCGGAUGCUCCACAAGGUGAUUAUUUUGUAAUGCCUUAUGAAAUAGAAACAACUUUUAAAAAUUUUCUUCAUGAUCUUCAAAGAGAAGACAAGACAGAUGUUUUAUACCUUCAAAAUCAAAAUUCAAGUUUUACUAAACAGUUUAGUGAACUGAUACCUGAUGCUGCUCUAGAUAUUUCUUGGGCAAGUGAAGCGUUUGGAAAAGCUCCUGAUGCAAUAAAUUUUUGGAUGGGAAGUAGUAAUUCAGUCACUAGUAUGCAUAAAGAUCAUUAUGAAAAUAUGUAUGCAGUGGUAAGGGGAGCGAAAAAAUUUAUUUUACAUCCGCCUACUGAUUUACCUUACUUAAUUCAUAAACAAUACAUACCUGCAAGAUACAAAAAAGAAAAUGGUGUUUACAAAAUUUUUGAAGAAAGAAAUAUUGAAUGUUGUCAAAUAUGUUUAAAGGAAUAUGUAUCUACUGAAAUUAAACAUAGUAACAUGGCUACUAAAGUUACACAUCCAGUUAUAUCUGCUGAAAUUACACAAGAUAACAUUCCAAAUAAAGUUUCAAAUUUAAAUUGCAUUGAUAAAUUCAAUAUUGAUAUAAAAAAUGCGAGUGAUAGCAUCUCUAUAAACAAUCAAAAUAUAAGCUGCUCACAUGAUUGCCAUAUACUACCUAGAAUACCUUGGAUUGCAACAAAUCCUUUGAAUCUUGAUGAUAGAACAAAUUUUUUGUAUAAGCAGUCUCAUCCUCUGGAAGUAACAGUACAACCGGGGGAUCUUCUUUACCUUCCUUCUUUAUGGUUUCAUCAUGUACAGCAAGAAGAUAACACAAUUGCAAUAAACUUUUGGAUAAUCAUUUGACAAAACUACAAAAAAUAAUCAAAGUGUUAUCUGUUAUAGAUGGUGUACCAAAAGAAAUUGAAAAUUUGCAGCUGUUUGAAGAUUGUAAUGAACAAGUUAACAAGUUAUUGCUUGAGGAUGAUACAUCACUCACACAAUUCGACUCCAAGAGUUCUGAAGUAGUUUGUGUGUCUUUAAAAGCUUUACCAAUAUUUUUUUUAUUUUGUAAGGAUGCAAAUAUUCAACUUGAACAGAAUAUGAUAAAACAACGCAUUGUUGCUUUGUUUAAGAACACUUACCAGAGU
rnacentral:misc_RNA from 1 species